UAAACGAUGGAUACUAGCUGUUUGAGCGUAAGUUUGAGUGGCUAAGCGAAAGUGAUAAGUAUCCCACCUGGGGAGUACGCACGCAAGUGUGAAACUCAAAGGAAUUGACGGGGGCCCGCACAAGCGGUGGAGCAUGUGGUUUAACUCGAUGAUACGCGAGGAACCUUACCAAGGUUUAAAUGGAGACUGACGUACUUAGAGAUAGGUAUUUCUUCGGACAGUCUUCAAGGUGCUGCAUGGCUGUCGUCAG
rnacentral:rRNA from 1 species